rnacentral:rRNA from 1 species
UACGGGGGGGGCAAGCGUUGUUCGGAAUUACUGGGCGUAAAGGGCUCGUAGGCGGCCAACUAAGUCAGACGUGAAAUCCCUCGGCUUAACCGGGGAACUGCGUCUGAUACUGGAUGGCUUGAGGUUGGGAGAGGGAUGCGGAAUUCCAGGUGUAGCGGUGAAAUGCGUAGAUAUCUGGAGGAACACCGGUGGCGAAGGCGGCAUCCUGAACCAAUUCUGACGCUGAGGCGCGAAAGCCAGGGGAGCAAACGGG